rnacentral:rRNA from 1 species
ACUCCUACGGGAGGCAGCAGUGGGGAAUAUUGCACAAUGGGCGCAAGCCUGAUGCAGCAACGCCGCGUGAGCGAUGAAGGCCUUCGGGUCGUAAAGCUCUGUCCUCAAGGAAGAAUAAAUGACGGUACUUGAGGAGGAACGCCCGGCUAACUACGUGCCAGCAGCCGCGGUAAGUACGUAGGGGCAAGCGUUAUCCGGAAUCACGUGGGCGUAAAGGGUGCGUAGGUCGGUUUUUCAAGUCAGAAGUGAAAGGCUAUGGCUCAACCAUAGUAAGCUUUUAGAAACUGUUAAACUUGAGUGCAGGAGAGGAAAGUGGAAUUCCUAGUGUAGAGUG